GACGUGCAAGGGGAUGACAAGCGAUACUUCCGUCGACUGAUCUUCCUCAGCAACAGGAAUGUGGUGCAGUCCGAAGCCAGGUUGCUGAAGGAUGUGUCUCACAAAGCCCAGAAGAAGCGGAAAAAGGACAGGAAGAAGCAGCGGCCUGCUGAUGCGGAGGACCUCCCUGCAGCCCCGGGGCAGUCCAUUGAUAAGAGUUACCUGUGUUGUGAACACCACAAAGCCAUGAUUGCUGGCCUUGCCCUGCUGAGAAACCCAGAGCUACUCCUAGGUGAGAGAGAUGCCACUGCCUUCCACAGAAGGGAGCAUAAAGAUUACAGACCUAAACAAUUGGUGUCACUUGCAUUGUAGUUGAAGAAUAGCAAUUACAAGCUGACAAUGUAUCUUUCUUCAUCUCAACCAUAUUAUAAGUUAAUGAGCAUUCUAAUUAACUGUUGCCUCAAACUCAACCUGUUAUAUUGAAAUUGUAUUGAAAUAUGUUAGAGUCUAAGUGGUAUUUUUUCUGUUCAUUUCUUUUUAAAAUUAAGGUAUAUCAUGUAUUCAAUGAGAUAUGUAAAAAUACACAGAUUUUAAUUGUCCA
rnacentral:sRNA from 1 species